UUUGUGUCUUUCGGCUUUUCAGGGUUUGGAUUUUUUCCCCUGAAUCUUUAUUGUAAAAAUAUUCAAACAUGAAACAAUAGUAACCAUGAACACACAUAUACUCCGCAUGUAAAUGUAGUAGAUAAAAUUUUUCUUUCUUCACAUUUUUCUCUUUUAUGUGUAUGUGUGUGAGUGUUAAUACGUAGACAUUCUCACUCCCCAGUUUAACAGCUGGACCAGUUGAAAAUUGUAGGCAUCAUAAUACUUUAUUCCUCAGAAUUUCAGCUUGCCUUUCCUUUAUGAAGGACUAUUUUCCUGUGUCAUUACAAUACCGUUAUCAUACCUAAGAAAAAUUUAAAGUAAUUUCUUAAUGACAUCUAUUAUGUAGUCUUACUCAGAUUUAUCUAGUUGCCCCAAAAAUGUCUUUCAUAACUUUUUUCCAUAGCAGGUUCCAAUCAAAGCUCAUGUUUUGUCUCAUUUAGUGUAGACCAGUGGUUCUCAACUCAGAACAGUUUUGCCCUACAGGGGAUAUUUGGCAAUGUCUGAUGAUUUAACUUUUUCCUUCUUCCUUCAUUCUUUGUAACUUCAUCUUUGGAGUUCUCUUGCAGCUCAGCCGGUUAAGGAUCCAGCAUUUUCACUGCUGUGGUAUGGUUUCAUUCCCUGGCCUGGGAACUUCCACAUGCCAUGGAUAGGGCUCCCCCCCGCAAAAAAAAAGCUCACUUCAUCUUUGUUUUGUAUACUUCAUAUUGCAGAACUUCGAGAGGCUAAGUUUGGUCACUUGGUUAAGGUAAUGUAUCUACAGUGUAAUUUUCUUUAGCAGUUCCCAGUAUUGGGGGUGAUCCUCUGACACCUUGCUCAUCCAGUUACCUAUGAUGCUUAGUAUAUCUGUUGAUAAUCCUUACCCAAAUUAGUUAUGGGUUUGUUCUUUUUAACAUGUCAUUCUUUUCUUCUUCUUUUUUUCUUUUUUUUUUAUGUUUUUAAAUUUUUUUUUUUUUUCUUUUUUGGGCCAUACUCUCGGCGUAUGGAGGCUCCUGGGCUCGGGGUCCAAUCUGAGCUACGGCUGCCGGUCUACGGCACAGCCAGAGCAACUCGGGAUCCGAGCUGUGUCUGGGACCUACAGCACACAGCUCACGGCAACACCGGAUCCUUAACCCACUGAAUGAAGCCAGGGAUCGAACCUGCAUCCUCCUGGAUCCUAGUGGGGUUUGUUAACCACUGAGCUACAAAGGGAACUCCCUCUUCUCUUCUUUUAUUACCAGCAUUCUUCUGUAAAGAGCCUUUCUUCUCUCAUUUUUCCCUUUUAAUAUUAGUUGGGAUUUAUGAAUUUUUAUUUAAUAUUUUAAAGUCCACUUCAGUCAUUAUUUUUGCAGUUCUAAAGUUGAUGCAGGUGUCUCCUUCAAACUGUCUCCUUUGUGCCUUUGAAGUCGUCUCAUUAUCAUUAGUGUUUUGAGUACUUUCUUGCUUUCUUGGCACAAUCAGAUGUCUCAGUCUUGCUCUCAAUUUCCCAGCUCUGGUUGUAGCCGUUUCACCAAAUAGCCCUAGGACUUUUUAAUGGAGCAAAAUGUUUAAAACUAAGAUCUGGGGUGGGAGGUGUUCUAGCGGCCCACUCGAUUAAGAAUCCGACAUUGUCACUGUAGCGGCUCUGGUUACUACUGUGGUGUGGUUCACUCCCUGGCCAGGAAACUUCUGUAUGCCAAGGGCAUGGCCAAAAACAAAAACAAAAACAAAAAACCAUCACUAAACAGCUAAGAUCUGGGAGGUAGGUAUGCUCAUUGCUACUGGGUUAUCAUUGUUUCUAAGACGUUUUAGUCAGCAGAGCUAUAAAAUACUUUUUAUCUUUAAAUCAUUUGUUCCUAUUGAUACCCAAUUCAGAAUUAACCUAAGUUUUUUCGUGUCUUUAAUUUUAUAUAUUUUAUAUUUGUUUCUUUUUCUCUUUUAUAAAAAAAUGUGGUUUCAGAGUUCCCGUCAUGGCACAGCAGAAAUGAAUCCGACUAGGAAUUGUAAGGCUUCAGGUUCGAUACCUGGCCUUCCUCAGUGGGUUAAGGAUCUGGCAUUGCUGUGAGCUGUGGCAUAGGUCUAAGAUGCGGCUUGGAUCCUUUGUUGCUGUGGCUGUGGUGUAGGCCGGCAGGUGUAGCUCUGAUUGGAGCCCUAACCUGGGAACCUCCAUAUGCCAUGGGUGCAGCU
rnacentral:lncRNA from 1 species